ACAGAGCACAACACUGCCAGCACUGAUGCUGCACACAGUCAAGAACCACGCAACAGGGGUCCGGCAGAGAUCCAGCUAACCUGGAGCGCUUUUGGGCCGACCCAGCAAGACACAUGGGCUGAGUCGAUGCAGGGUCUCUGCAGUCUGGCCUUUAGCUCUUUCUCAUUGAAAACGGACUCCCACUGACCUGCUUUUGGCUUUGAAAAGAUAUUCCUUUAUGUGGCUGGCCCCCCACACUACCUCACCACAAUACUAUUAAUAAUGACACUGGAUGAAAAUCUCCACACUGGACCAAUUUACAAACUCACAAAGGAACUGAGAUGCUCCUCAGCUUCUCAGUACGACUUUAGUUAUUGAGUUGCGCGAGAUUGACAUCCUACUGCUGAUGCUUUAUUAUCCUCAGAAAAGAAUUGCUCAGAGCAAGGCAUGAUGCCGACCACGCAAACACAACGCUAAUAUUAUAGUAGUAAGAAAGGAUGUGCUUGCCCUUUUAUUGAAGAGCGUUUAACGGCUAAGCUGCUACUGUAUUGUUUUGAAUUAAUUUGCUGUGAAUCCAGCUGCGUCAUGGGUGGGUAGCAGAGCAAAAUUCAAUCACUGGCUUGUAUGCGCUAAGAACACCUGGUGAGGGGACAAGCAUCAUGCUGAGGGCUUGCAUAGAUCCCCGCCUGCACUUGGCUGCAACUCAAAGCAUCAGAGGUGUUUCAUCUCUGCGCUGGAGUCUCCGGGGUUAAGACGGAAAGGAUAACGCUUCAAUGUAUGGAUCCUUGCCUCUACAGCCACAAGCAGAUCCUCUCCCAGCAUCUCCGAUCCAGACGCACGAGGGAGAAACCUCGACGAGGAGCAUGAGAGGAAAACCAGCACAUUUGG